rnacentral:antisense_RNA from 1 species
GUAGCAAGCAGGGCAUUCCGAGUCUGCGGUCGUAUUGGACUGAUUUAUUUACUGCAACUUGUUACAAACGCUGCUUUUUUCUUAUUAACUCCUAUUUGUAUCCGCCCAAACCCAAGUGGUUUGGGCUUUUUUUA